rnacentral:rRNA from 1 species
UAGCAUAUCAAUAAGCGGAGGAAAAGAAACCAACAGGGAUUGCCUCAGUAACGGCGAGUGAAGCGGCAACAGCUCAAAUUUGAAAUCUGGCCUCUUUGGGGUCCGAGUUGUAAUUUGUAGAGGAUGUUUCGGGUACCGCCUCGGUUUAAAUUUCUUGGAACAGAAUGUCAAAGAGGGUGAGAAUCCCGUCUUGGACCGGCGGUAGGGCCCAUGUGAAACUCCUUCGACGAGUCGAGUUGUUUGGGAAUGCAGCUCAAAAUGGGUGGUAAAUUUCAUCUAAAGCUAAAUAUUGGCCAGAGACCGAUAGCGCACAAGUAGAGUGAUCGAAAGAUGAAAAGCACUUUGAAAAGAGAGUUAAACAGUAUGUGAAAUUGUUGAAAGGGAAGCGCUUACAACCAGACUUGAGCGCGGCGGUUCCCCCUUCCUUUUGGUUGGGUUACUCCGUCGUGUCCAGGCCAACAUCGGUUUCGGGGGUCGGUUAAAGACCUUGGGAAUGUAUCUACCCUUCGGGCGUAGACUUAUAGCCCAGGGUGUCAUGCGGCCUCCCGGGACCGAGGAACGCGCUUCGGCUCGGAUGUUGGCGUAAUGGUUGUCAGCGACCCGUCUUGAAACACGGACCAAGGAGUCUAACAUCUAUGCGAGUGUUUGGGUGUCAAACCCGGAACGCGAAAUGAAAGUGAACGGAGGUAGGAAGCCUUGAGGCUGCACUAUCGACCGAUCCUGAUGUCUUCGGAUGGAUUUGAGUAAGAGCAUAGCUGUUGGGACCCGAAAGAUGGUGAACUAUGCCUGAAUAGGGUGAAGCCAGAGGAAACUCUGGUGGAGGCUCGCAGCGGUUCUGACGUGCAAAUCGAUCGUCAAAUUUGGGUAUAGGGGCGAAAGACUAAUCGAACCAUCUGGUAGCUGGUCCUGC